AGAUAGUCAUGCCGAAUAUGAAGAUCUCAAAUAUCGAAAACCUAUCUAGAUGCCACAUCAUGUCGUCAGAUUUUGUAUUUUAUGCUGUCAUUGCACAGACAUAAACGUAUGCGUGUGGCGAAAACCCCUUGACCGUAAUAUAUUAGUCUCCGGUUGUACAACUCCACCUUCUCGGUUGUUUUAUUCAGAUUUUUUAACAUUCGCCAGCGCGCGUACAACCAUUUCCUGUGCUGUCACGACGGCGACGCGCCCGGAACCAGUUUAUCCUCUUGGCCGUCGCUCAGGCACUGGAGGUUCAUUCAUCGAUUGUCCCCACCAAAAGCAUCUUUCGAGCUCAUUCAAGAAACCUAGGCGCAAUAUACUGGCAUGGCGCAGGCUUGUUGUGUACUGCAGUUGUUACUUAUUAGGUACUUUACAUAAAUGUUGUUUUUUUUCUUUUAGUUUUGUAUUAAAUUAUUUUUGGCCGCUGUUCGGUGUUCGACACAAGGACACCUUGGCAGACUGACUCAUUAAAUCGCGCACCUGUGCAAUGUCUCGAGGAUAUUAACCACCAGGACUCGUACCUAUAUAAACAUACGUUUAAAAAUACAUGCAAAUAGUUUUCAAUGAUAUGUAUACAAUUAAUUAUAACAUAACCCGUAGGUACGCUACCUGACAAUUUUGGUGCCGCAAAACUGUAACAUCAGGACAAUUCAAGCGUUCCAGUCCACAUGCCUCCGCUUGGUCACCAAAGCUUCGUGGUACGUCACAAAUAACUCCCUACAUGAAGACCUCAAAAUCACAACAGUCAAAAAGACCGCAUCUAUAUUCUACCUAAGACGACACUCCAAAAUGCAAUGCCAUUCAAACCGACUUGUCACCCAGCUGCACUCAAAAACACUUCCGGGCAAUCCAAACAGACGCCUCAAACGUAAUUGGUCCAGAGACCUACUCAAUUGGCAUCAGUCUCCUCCUCCAUUGACUCCUGAUGACGUAUACGAUGGGGUUCCGAACUUCUACAUAAUAUAUCGAGAAUACUGUACCUCAACACGUGGUGGCCUGGCGAUAGCCUACAAAGAGUUUAAGCUGAGAACGCGAUCUUCAACGUGUUCCCACUUGAUAAUCUAUCUACAGGGGCCGCGCCAUCGUUAAACCCGUCAUUUCUUUCAGAGUACUCUUACAAGAUGUCUACUGUUUACAAACUGUACUUUAUUGCUUAAAAACGAACGAGGAUACGAUAAUAUAAUAAUAAUUUCACAUACUAAAAUCUAAAAAAAAACGCUUAAAACGCGUGUCUAUUGUCUCGAGUCACCUAACUAAUUUCAUUACUGUGACUAUAUCAAUAACGAAUGUAUAUUCACCUACGUUCUUCCUUUGAAGUGCUCGACACUGCUAAAGGUGCCAAGGCUUUGACCAGCAUUACUUCUCUUACUGAAAUUAUUCCGAAGGUAUACGACCGCAAAAUCGCUUAUUAAUUAGCCGACUAUCUGUGAUCACGUGCCGGCCUUACAGGCGAAGACCAGCUGUAGCGUUGAUGAGAAAACCAUUUUGACCAUUCUUCGAGGAAAUUAUUCAAUUGGCACAGACGUUAAGUCAAUAAAAAACCAUACACCGUAAGCGGUUAGCGUGUGGCAAAGAAACACAAACGUUACUUAUCAAAAUACAAUUUCGAAGGAGAAAGAAAAAAAAUGUUAUAGAAGAUAUUGUAGACUUGGGCAUAUCUCAUUUAGCUUAAAAACACGAAUCGGGACUUGGGUUAAUUGUUAACAGCUGUUAAGUCUACUAUAAAGUUGAAUAAUUUUAAUAAAAAUGGUCUUAAUAUGGUCAGUUAGUUGUGUUAGUUGUUUAUGGUAUUUCAAGAAAAUUAUUUUUCACAUAGACCGGAUAGCUGCCAAUCAUUAUCCUCUAUUUUAUUAUGAAAAACAGGUGAAUGACCGAAUGAUCAUCAUAAUAUUAUUAUCUUGUGCUGACGACCGACAUUGCCUUUAAAAAAAACGUGUUACGCCGUACAGUUAACUUAGUGUUUGGCACGAAAACGAUUUGAAAAGUAAAAACAAACGCUCAACUGUGCACCGAUGGCAGGGGUCAAGUUCACCGAAAUUGUUCUAAAGCCGACACAAAUCACUCGGCAACAUCA